rnacentral:pre_miRNA from 1 species
UCAUUCGGAUUCGCCAUCAUACGUCCAACCGUGCAUUUGAUAUGCAUAUAUAUGCAUCACGAGCCACGGUUGGGCUGUAUGAUGACGAUACCGAUUGG